UACAGGGGGUGCAAACGUUGCUCGGAAUUAUUGGGCGUAAAGCGCGCGUAGGCGGCUACCUAAGUCGGAUGUGAAAGCCCCUGGCUUAACUGGGGAAGUGCACCCGAAACUGAGUAGCUAGAGUGCGAAAGAGGGUCGCGGAAUUCCCGGUGUAGAGGUGAAAUUCGUAGAUAUCGGGAGGAACACCAGUGGCGAAGGCGGCGAUCUGGGAAGAUACUGACGCUGAGGUGCGAAAGCGUGGGGGGCAAACAGG
rnacentral:rRNA from 1 species